CCUACGGGGGGCAGCAGUAGGGAAUCUUUCACAAUGGGCGAAAGCCUGAUGGAGCAACGCCGCGUGCAGGAUGAAGGCCUUCGGGUUGUAAACUGCUUUUAUAAGCGAGAAAUAUGAUGGUAACUUAUGAAUAAGGAUCGGCUAACUACGUGCCAGCAGCCGCGGUCAUACGUAGGAUCCGAGCAUUAUCCGGAGUGACUGGGUGUAAAGAGUUGCGUAGGUGGCAUAAUAAGUAGCUAGUGAAAUCUGGUGGCUCAACCAUUCAGACUAUUAGCUAAACUGUUAAGCUCGAGACCGUUAGAGGUAACUGGAAUGUCUAGUGUAGGAGUGAAAUCCGUAGAUAUUAGAAGGAACACCGAUGGCGUAGGCAGGUUGCUGGGACGGUUCUGACACUAAGGCACGAAAGCGUAGGGAGCAAACGGGAUUAGAUACCCCUGUAGUC
rnacentral:rRNA from 1 species